CAUCACUACGCUAGAUGCAUAUCAAUAAGCGGAGGAAAAGAAACUAACAAGGAUUCCCCUAGUAACGGCGAGUGAAGCGGGAAGAGCUCAAAUUUGAAAUCUUAAAGGGUUUCCCUUUACGAAUUGUAGUUUAAAGAAGUGUUUUCUGUUGGAGUUUCGGUAAAAGUUCUUUGGAAUAGGACAUCAUAGAGGGUGAGAAUCCCGUAUUUGACCGUUACUUUCCAGCUGUGUGAUACACUUUCAAAGAGUCGGAUUGUUUGGGAAUGCAGUCCAAAAUGGGUGGUAAAUUUCAUCUAAAGCUAAAUAUUGGCGAGAGACCGAUAGCGAACAAGUACCGUGAGGGAAAGAUGAAAAGAACUUUGAAAAGAGAGUUAAACAGUACGUGAAAUUGUCAAAAGGGAAGCGUUUGACACCAGUGUUGUUUAGUUCGAAAAUCAAUUAACUAAUGUUUUGAUUUUAAGUAGUUAUGACUUCAUCAGCUUGCUGCUUUCUUUACUGAAACUUAUCUUAAUGCACUUUUCAGUUAACAAGUCAACAUCAAUUUCUUUUGUUGUAAAAGGGUAAGAGGAAGGUGGCUUGCGCUUCGGCGUCAAGUGUUUAUAGCCUUUUGUCUCUGCAAUCGGAGAGAUUGAGGUCUGCAGCGUAGAUCCUUCGGGGUUAGAUACAUUGGUGCUAAGCUAUAAGCCUUGUAUAGACAACUUGUUGACUAUGCUCAGUCAUGUAGCUUACUCGCUGAUGCUAUUUUACCUACGCUUAGGAUGUUGACACACGCGCGUGCUCG
rnacentral:rRNA from 1 species